UUUCUAAUUAAAGACCUGUAUGAAUGACCCCACGAGGGCCGUACUGUCUCCUCUCUCCAAUCAGUGAAACUAAUCUCCUCGUCCAAAAGCGAGAAUCACACUAUUAGACGAAAAGACCCUGUGGAGCUAAAACAAUCUAGCAAUUGUCUAACAAUUAUUUCUUACACUUUGGACAAGAUGACUUCUAGUUUUUGGUUGGGGCGACCAUGGAGAAAAAUUAAUCCUCCAAGAUGAAUAAGAACCUUCUUUAACUAUGAGCGACAGCUUUUAGUAUUAGCAUACUGACAUCAAUUGACCCUUCUUGAUCAACG
rnacentral:rRNA from 1 species